GACGAACGCUGGCGGCGUGCUUAACACAUGCAAGUCGAACGGAAAGGCCCUGCUUUUGUGGGGUGCUCGAAUGGCGAACGAGUGAGUAACAAGUGAGUAACCUGCCCUUGACUUUGGGAUAACUUCAGGAAACUGGGGCUAAUACCGGAUAGGAGCUCCUGCUGCAUGGUGGGGGUUGGAAAGUUUCGGCGGUUGGGGGUGGACUCGCGGCUUAUCAGCGUGUUGGUGGGGUAGUGGCUUACCAAGGCUUUGACGGGUAGCCGGCCUGAGAGGGUGACCGGCCACAUUGGAACGGAGAUGCGGCCCAGACUCCUACGGGGGGCAGCAGUGGGGAAUAGUGCACAAUGGGCGGAAGCCUGAUGCAGCAACGCCGCGUGCGGGAUGACGGCCUUCGGGUUGUAAACCGCUUUCGCCUGUGACGAAGCGUGAGAGACGGUAAUGGGUAAAGAAGCACCGGCUAACUACGUG
rnacentral:rRNA from 1 species